rnacentral:rRNA from 1 species
AUUGAACGCUUGCGGCAGGCCUAACACAUGCAAGUCGAACGAGUGGCGGACGGGUGAGUAAUGUCUGGGAAACUGCCUGAUGGAGGGGGAUAACUACUGGAAACGGUAGCUAAUACCGCAUACCAUCAGAUGUGCCCAGAUGGGAUUAGCUAGUAGGUGAGGUAACGGCUCACCAAGGCGACGAUCCCUAGCUGUUCUGAGAGGAUGACCAGCGACACUGGAACUGAGACACGGUCCAGACUGCGACGGGAGGCAGCAGUGGGGAAUAUUGCACAAUGGGCGCAAGCCUGAUGGAGCCAUGCCGCGUGUAUGAAGAAGGCUUUCGGGUUGUAAAGUACUGUCAGCUGGGAGGCGUUACCCGCAGAAGAAGCACCGGCUAACUCCGUGCCAGCAGCCGCGGUAAUUC